UACGGAGGAUGCGAGCGUUAUCCGGAUUUAUUGGGUUUAAAGGGUGCGCAGGCGGCACGGCAAGCCGGCGGUCAAAUCGCGGGGCUCAACCCCGCCCAGCCGUCGGAACUGCCGGGCUAGAGUGGGCGAGAAGUGCGCGGAAUGCGUGGUGUAGCGGUGAAAUGCAUAGAUAUCACGCAGAACUCCGAUUGCGAAGGCAGCGUACCGGCAUCCAACUGACGCUGAGGCACGAAAGCGUGGGGAUCAAACAGG
rnacentral:rRNA from 1 species